rnacentral:lncRNA from 1 species
GGCCGUCUGGCUCAUGACGUCAAUCUGUGGAGUGCGCACCAUUGUGCAAGACUGUGGUUGGCAUCGCUAGUCAAUUGGAUCGAUAGAAACACACGACGGAGUACAGAUAAUUAGGCACGCUUCGAGCUGUUGAUGUUGUCAUGUUUAUAUGCUGUAGAAAAGUUUGUAAAAAGCGAAAUAAAGAGGAUUCACGUGUCCAUGACCGUUGCUUGAGAAAC